rnacentral:rRNA from 1 species
UCGAGAAUUUUUCACAAUGGGCGCAAGCCUGAUGGAGCGACGCCGCGUGGGGGAUGAAUGGCUUCGGCCCGUAAACCCCUGUCAUUUGCGAUCAAACCUUAUUAUUUAAAAGAUGAUGAGCUGAUAGUAGCGAAAGAGGAAGGGACGGCUAACUCUGUGCCAGCAGCCGCGGUAAUACAGAGGUCCCAAGCGUUGUUCGGAUUCACUGGGCGUAAAGGGUGCGUAGGUGGCGAGGUAAGUCGGAUGUGAAAGCUCGGAGCUCAACUCCGAAAUGGCAUUGGAAACUACCUUGCUCGAGGGUUGGAGGGGGGACUGGAAUGCUUGGUGUAGCAGUGAAAUGCGUAGAUAUCAAGCGGAACACCAGUGGCGAAGGCGAGUCCCUGGACAACUCCUGACACUGAGGCACGAAAGCUAGGGGAGCAAACAGGAUUAGAUACCCCUGUAGUCC